CGGCGGGCAGCUAACACAUGCAGUCGAGGGGUAACGGGAAGUGCUUGCACUUUGCCGACGACCGGCGCACGGGUGCGGAACGCGUAUGGAACCUGCCCCUGUCAGGGGAAUAGCCCAGAGAAAUUUGGAUUAAUGCCCCAUGGUAUCCCAUCACCACAUGGUGUAGGGAUUAAAGAUUUAUCGGACAGGGAUGGCCAUGCGUACCAUUAGCUUGUUGGUGAGGUAACGGCUUACCAAGGCAACGAUGGUUAGGGGCCCUGAGAGGGGGAUCCCCCACACUGGUACUGAGACACGGACCAGACUCCUACGGGAGGCAGCAGUGAGGAAUAUUGGACAAUGGGCGGGAGCCUGAUCCAGCCAUGCCGCGUGCAGGAUGACUGCCCUAUGGGUUGUAAACUGCUUUUAUACGGGAAGAAACCUGUCCACGUGUGGACAGCUGACGGUACCGUAAGAAUAAGGACCGGCUAACUCCGUGCCAGCAGCCGCGGUAAUACGGAGGGUCCGAGCGUUAUCCGGAAUCAUUGGGUUUAAAGGGUCCGUAGGUGGGCCAUUAAGUCAGGGGUGAAAGUCUGCAGCUCAACUGUAGAAUUGCCUUUGAUACUGGUGGUCUUUGAGUCGUUGUGGGGUUGCCGGAACCAUGUGGUUGUAGCGGUGAAAUUGCAUAAAUUCCACAUAAACCACCUGAUUCC
rnacentral:rRNA from 1 species